ACCACUUUCCUAAAUUGGGAUUGGGUUCAGAAAAGAAACCUUAUCCCUAUGACCAACCUACAACAGGAAAGUGGUUGUUUUUGGACGCACAAAAGAAGUCUAAAGAAGAGCAGUUGACUUCGUUGAGGGAGAAAUUGGAUGAACUUACGGUGAACGAUGUGGUAUUUCACCCAUACACCGUACCCGAUGAUGUCUCUGUAGAUGAAGACGACUUGAAUGGUUUCUCUACCGUCUCGCCUUACUAUGGACCAAUUUGGUGUCCUAACGGCUACGCAAUAUAUAAUCCAAGAAGAGUACUAAGAAAACUUUGUUGCGUUCAAAUGGAUCCCGAUGUGGAGAAUGAAAAUUUCACUUUGCUGGUUGAAGGAACAAAGAACUCCGAGAAGUAUUUUGAGCCAAAACAUGAACCAACUCCUGCGGUAGCACAUUAGAAUGCACUUACUAACUACCACAUACCAAGAGGUGAUUUGGUACCUUGUGGGGAAGAUGUAAAUGCAUGUGAGGAAGAUUAUAUGGAGUAUUAUGAAGAAAUUAGUCAUCCUUUCGUGAUAAAUAAAGAACAACAAGCUAAGACUGAUGCGUCGAAGGCGAAGGGAAAGGAGAGGGAGGCUAAUAGAGCUCAGAAGGAGGUGCCUAUUUGUGGAGAAGAAGCUAAAAGGUUAUGGGAUAAUGUGGUGUUGAAGGGUUCGAAAUUGUUGAAGAAAUGGAUGGCUAAAAUCAAAAGUGGAGAGCCGAUGGAGACAAAGGAACAAACCGCCUACUACAAGCAGUGGGAGGGUCUCAUAACUAAAAGAAUGGUGUAGCCAAGUAGGUGUAAACAAUUAAAGAGAGGUCGACAACAAGGUGAAGGUUCAAGUCGCGCUGUGGACGAAACCGGUGGAGGAGACGAAACCCCAAGUGAUGAGGAAGUUCGUCCCAAAACUCGUGGUAAACAAGGAGGUGGUAAGAAGAGUCGACAACAAGGACAAGGUUCAAGUCGCGCUGAGCAGGAAACCCCAAGUGAUGAGGAAGUUAACCUAAAUCUCGUGGUAAACAAGGAGGUGGUAAGAGGGGUCGACAACAAGGAUAAGGUUCAAGUCGCGCUGUGGAGGAAACCGGUCGAGGAGACGAUACCACAAGUGAUGAGGAAGUUCGUCCCAAAACUCGUGGUAAACAAGGAGGUGGCAAGAGGGGUCGUAAAAGUGGUCGUUAGUGAUUUCGUAUGGUUUAAUUUGGUGUGUUUGUGUUUUUUAAAAAAUUACUUAAGGAUCUCGUAGUUUGGUAUGUAUAACACUUUUAUAUUUGUUUUAGAACCUUGUUUGUGUUUUCAA